CCUACGGGAGGCAGCAGUGAGGAAUAUUGGUCAAUGGACGAGAGUCUGAACCAGCCAAGUAGCGUGAAGGAUGACUGCCCUAUGGGUUGUAAACUUCUUUUAUAUGGGAAUAAAAUGUUCCACGUGUGGGAUUUUGUAUGUACCAUAUGAAUAAGGAUCGGCUAACUCCGUGCCAGCAGCCGCGGUAAUACGGAGGAUCCGAGCGUUAUCCGGAUUUAUUGGGUUUAAAGGGAGCGUAGGUGGAUUGUUAAGUCAGUUGUGAAAGUUUGCGGCUCAACCGUAAAAUUGCAGUUGAAACUGGCAGUCUUGAGUACAGUAGAGGUGGGCGGAAUUCGUGGUGUAGCGGUGAAAUGCUUAGAUAUCACGAAGAACUCCGAUUGCGAAGGCAGCUCACUGGACUGCAACUGACGCUGAUGCACGAAAGCGUGGGGAUCAAACAGGAUUAGAUACCCCAGUAGUC
rnacentral:rRNA from 1 species